rnacentral:rRNA from 1 species
AUUGAACGCUGGCGGCAGCCUAACACAUGCAAGUCGAGCGGAUGAAGGGAGCUUGCUCCUGGAUUCAGCGGCGGACGGGUGAGUAAUGCCUAGGAAUCUGCCUGGUAGUGGGGGAUAACGUCCGGAAACGGGCGCUAAUACCGCAUACGUCCUGAGGGAGAAAGUGGGGGAUCUUCGGACCUCACGCUAUCAGAUGAGCCUAGGUCGGAUUAGCUAGUUGGUGGGGUAAAGGCCUACCAAGGCGACGAUCCGUAACUGGUCUGAGAGGAUGAUCAGUCACACUGGAACUGAGACACGGUCCAGACUCCUACGGGAGGCAGCAGUGGGGAAUAUUGGACAAUGGGCGAAAGCCUGAUCCAGCCAUGCCGCGUGUGUGAAGAAGGUCUUCGGAUUGUAAAGCACUUUAAGUUGGGAGGAAGGGCAGUAAGUUAAUACCUUGCUGUUUUGACGUUACCAACAGAAUAAGCACCGGCUAACUUCGUG